rnacentral:rRNA from 1 species
GCUUGUCUCAAAGAUUAAGCCAUGCAUGUCUAAGUAUAAAUGGUAUACAGUGAAACUGCGAAUGGCUCAUUAAAACAGUUAUAGUUUAUUUGGUAUUCGAAUUUACAUGGAUAACCGUGGUAAUUCUAGAGCUAAUACAUGCAUCAAGCCCCGACUGUUUGGAAGGGGUGUAUAUAUUAGAUUGAAACCAAUGCGGGGCAACCCGGAGUGUGGUGAUUCAUAAUAUCUUUCGGAUCGAUUUAUCGAUGCAUCAUUCAAGUUUCUGCCCUAUCAGCUUUGGAUGGUAGGGUAUUGGCCUACCAUGGCUUUAACGGGUAACGGAGAAUUAGGGUUCGAUUCCGGAGAGGGAGCCUGAGAAAUGGCUACCACAUCCAAGGAAGGCAGCAGG